GAGGGAUUAGUUAAAUUCAUAACACUGCCUUGUCAAGACAGAAUCACUAGUUAAAUCCUUGUACCCCUCU
rnacentral:tRNA from 1 species